rnacentral:hammerhead_ribozyme from 1 species
UCACUGCCGAGGAGUCCCACAAUAGGACGAAAUGGCCGUCCAGUGC